UACGUAGGGGGCAAGCGUUGUCCGGAUUUAUUGGGCGUAAAGCGCGCGUAGGUGGCCACAUAAGUCCGUUGUGAAAGUCAAAGGCUCAACCUUUGAAAGCCGAUGGAUACUGUGUGGCUAGAGUACGGAAGAGGCGAGUGGAAUUCCUGGUGUAGCGGUGGAAUGCGCAGAUAUCAGGAGGAACACCAAUAGCGAAGGCAGCUCGCUGGGACGUUACUGACACUGAGGCGCGAAAGCGUGGGGAGCGAACAGG
rnacentral:rRNA from 1 species